rnacentral:rRNA from 1 species
AUUGAACGCUGGCGGCAUGCUUUACACAUACAAGUCGAACGGUAACAGGCCGCAAGGUGCUGACGAGUGGCGAACGGGUGAGUAAUGCAUCGGAACGUGCCCAGUCGUGGGGGAUAACGCAGCGAAAGCUGCGCUAAUACCGCAUACGAUCUAUGGAUGAAAGCGGGGGACCGUAAGGCCUCGCGCGAUUGGAGCGGCCGAUGUCUGAUUAGGUAGUUGGUGGGGUAAAGGCUCACCAAGCCAACGAUCUGUAGCUGGUCUGAGAGGACGACCAGCCAAACUGGGACUGAGACACGGCCCAGACUCCUACGGGAGGCAGCAGUGGGGAAUUUUGGACAAUGGGCGCAAGCCUGAUCCAGCAAUGCCGCGUGCAGGAAGAAGGCCUUCGGGUUGUAAACUGCUUUUGUACGGAACGAAAAGGCUCUGGAUAAUACCUGGGGCUCAUGACGGUACCGUAAGAAUAAGCACCGGCUAACUACGUGCCAGCAGCCGCCGUAAAAC